AUAUAUCUAUGUUUAAUAAAAUUAAAAGUUUAUUAAAUUUUAAUAUCACCCCAAUAAAAUACAAUAUUAUUAAAUAAUCUAAAUCAUCUAAAAAAUUAAUUAAUAAAAUUAUAUAAAGAUUUAUAGGGUCUUCUCGUCUUUCAAAAAAAUUUUAGCUUUUUAACUAAAAAAUAAAAUUCUAAAAUAAAUUUAUAUGAAACAGUUAAUAUUUCGUCAAACCU
rnacentral:rRNA from 1 species